UAAAACACCAAUCUCCAUAUGAACACCGAAAUUAAGCAAUGUUGAGUUUGGUCAGUAACUAGAUGGAUGACUGCUUGGGAAUACCAGGUGCUGUAAG